AUUUUGAUAAAACCAAUCAUUUAAAGCUUCUAACAACAUCCCCUCGGUCGUUUCUUCAUAAUAACUCUUCUUCUAUUUGUCCCCAUCCCAUUCGCUCCCCUCCUCUCCCUCCUCAAAUCCUCUCUCUCCUGCGCCAUCUUCCUCUUCCUUACCCUUGCUAGCUACCUCUCCACUCUCUUUGAUGGUUGCAUCAUUAUCUCCUACAACAACACUAGUGCCAACCUUUCCAUGCCAUCACCCCAUCCCUCA
rnacentral:lncRNA from 1 species